GGACCACAGAAUGCUUGCAUAUUCUACUGGAUGCUUCAGCUUGCAGUGGGUGCCUUGAAGAGUUUCAGUGGGCUUCGUUGUGCAUGGGUCAACAAUUUCAUUUUGGCUCUUGCAUCCUCAAUGUUCUGCUUCUGUUUUGAGACAUGGAUUGUGCUGGAGCAUGAGAAGCAAGGCCAGAAGCAAGAGUCGCUGUUUGAUACCUUCUGGCUGAUGACAUUCUUUGAAUCAAUAUCCCUUGUUGGAAGUCAAGGAAUCACAAACUUAUUGCUUGAUGAUGAUAACAAAGGAAUCUUGCUUCCGUAUACGUUUGCAGCCUUAGUGUCAGUAAUAGGAAUAUUGUAUAUCAGAAAAGCACCAAGUAUCAGUACCGCCCAUCAUGCAUCUGUCAUUGGAAGCUACCAAAAAUCAUUUUAUGCUCAUGUCCUCAGAGACAAAAGAGUGCUGAUUCUGGUCUUAGCUCAAGCAAGUGUCCAGUUCUCUGUAUCAGCCUUUUGGUUCCUCUGGGCACCAACGAUAGUGGCUGACGGAAGGGAUGCUCCUCUGUCACUAAACUACCCAUGUUUCCUGGUCUCGAGAAUGCUUGGAAGUGCUGCUGUUCCAUGGUUUUAUGGAGCCAUGGCUCCUUUCCAGAACGAGGAUAGCCUGACAACAGCAUACAUUGCUGCUGGACUUGCUUUGUCAAUUGUGGCUUAUGAUUAUCAGGAGAUUGGAACACUGGUGAUACUGUUCUGCAUCUUCCAUGCAUCCGUGGGCUUUGUUUUACCUUUGCUCGCAAGAUUUAGGACAAUGUACCUGCCAAAUGAACUACGUGGAGGCAUGAUGAGCUUUUCCCUAGCACUGGGAAAUGCACCUAUGUUCAUUUUCCUAAUACAGGGCGCCUACCAUGGGAACAUCGCAAAUUCAACCAUUCUAGGCCUUGCAGCCUGUGGCCUUUUGUCUGCCGGGGGCUGCAUUCAUAUGCUGCGGCGUUGGAGAAAGCACACCCGUCAAAACGUGCGCAGUCUAUAG
rnacentral:rRNA from 1 species